GAAAUGCGAUAAGUAAUGUGAAUUGCAGAAUUCGGUGAAUCAUCGAAUCUUUGAACGCACAUUGCGCCCGCCAGUAUUCUGGCGGGCAUGCCUGUUCGAGCGUCAUUUCAACCAUCAAGCCCCCGGCUUGUGUUGGGGACCUGCGGCUGCCCGCAGGCCCUGAAAAACAGUGGCGGGCUCGCUGUCACACCGAGCGUAGUAGCAUACAUUCUCGCUCAGGGCGUGCUGCGGGUUCCGGCCGUUAAACGACCUUCAUAACCCAAGGUUGACCUCGGAUCAGGUAGGAAGACCCGCUGAACUUAAGC
rnacentral:misc_RNA from 1 species